GGCUCAGAUUGAACGCUGGCGGCAGGCCUAACACAUGCAAGUCGAGCGGAUGACGGGAGCUUGCUCCUUGAUUCAGCGGCGGACGGGUGAGUAAUGCCUAGGAAUCUGCCUGGUAGUGGGGGACAACGUUUCGAAAGGAACGCUAAUACCGCAUACGUCCUACGGGAGAAAGCAGGGGACCUUCGGGCCUUGCGCUAUCAGAUGAGCCUAGGUCGGAUUAGCUAGUUGGUGGGGUAAUGGCUCACCAAGGCGACGAUCCGUAACUGGUCUGAGAGGAUGAUCAGUCACACUGGAACUGAGACACGGUCCAGACUCCUACGGGAGGCAGCAGUGGGGAAUAUUGGACAAUGGGCGAAAGCCUGAUCCAGCCAUGCCGCGUGUGUGAAGAAGG
rnacentral:rRNA from 1 species